rnacentral:rRNA from 1 species
UAGGGAAUCUUCGGCAAUGGGGGCAACCCUGACCGAGCAACGCCGCGUGAGUGAAGAAGGUUUUCGGAUCGUAAAGCUCUGUUGUAAGAGAAGAACGUGUGUGAGAGUGGAAAGUUCACACAGUGACGGUAACUUACCAGAAAGGGACGGCUAACUACGUGCCAGCAGCCGCGGUAAUACGUAGGUCCCGAGCGUUGUCCGGAUUUAUUGGGCGUAAAGCGAGCGCAGGCGGUUUAAUAAGUCUGAAGUUAAAGGCAGUGGCUUAACCAUUGUUCGCUUUGGAAACUGUUAAACUUGAGUGCAGAAGGGGAGAGUGGAAUUCCAUGUGUAGCGGUGAAAUGCGUAGAUAUAUGGAGGAACACCGGUAGCGAAAGCGGCUCUCUGGUCUGUAACUGACGCUGAGGCUCGAAAGCGUGGGGAGCAAACAGG